rnacentral:rRNA from 1 species
AACGACGCUGGCGGCAGGCCUAACACAUGCAAGUCGAGCGGGCAUCCUUCGGGAUGUUAGCGGCGGACGGGUGAGUAACGCGUGGGAACGUGCCCUUUGCUACGGAAUAGCCUCGGGAAACUGAGAGUAAUACCGUAUGUGCCCUUCGGGGGAAAGAUCUAUCGGCAAAGGAUCGGCCCGCAUUUGAUUAGUUAGUUGGUGAGGUAAUGGCUCACCAAGACAAUGAUCAAUAGCUGAUCUGAGAGGAUGAUCAGCCACACUGGGACUGAGACACGGCCCAGACUCCUACGGGAGGCAGCAGUGGGGAAUCUUGCACAAUGGAGGAAACUCUGAUGCAGCGAUGCCGCGUGAGUGAAGAAGGCCUUUGGGUUGUAAAGCUCUUUUGUAGGGGAAGAUAAUGACUGUACCCUAAGAAUAAGGUCCGGCUAACUUCGUG